GCGCCCGGCGGGGGCUGCGAGCGGCGAGGGCCGGGCCGCGGGGUCCCCCCCGCCUCCGCCCCCUCUCCCCCGGGAGCCGCCGGUGUGCGGCCGCUCGACACCCGCGCUCGGGGGCGGCCGUGGGGGUGAGCGGAGGCCCCCGCGAGGGGAGGGGGUCUGGCAGCGCCUCCGGCACUUCUUGCUCGGGUUUAUCAUUCCAGAUGCCGAGGAAGGGUUGUCACGGCACUUGGACUCGCAGUGGGCAGUAGGGCUGGGAUGUGAGUGCCCCAGGUCACAGCCUGACCUUUGGCCCUGGGAAGGGAGCGUUCAGCAGCUGGGGCUCAGCCCCUGGACGCUGCCAUUCCCCAAAUCACACUCAUCUGUGGGUCACCUUCAUCCCCAAAAUGGAUAACAAAGUUUCAUUGCAAGUAGAAAUCCAGAAUCCAUGCUCCCUGUUGGUGCCAUCUUACCAUUUAUCUUCCUAAGAUAAAUAACAAUUCAAGUAAAAAACUUGUCUUUUGGGGAAAACUGCUGCCUUAAGUUAUACCUUGAUUUAUAUCGCUAUUUUACUGAAUUUGCACUGACUGUGGAGGCAGGUCCCUGCCCCCAUGGGAAGGCUCCCAGGAUCAAGAAGAACAGGUCCCAAAUGCCCUGGAGUUGUAGCACUUUGGAUAUGCAGGGAACACAAACAGAUGCUCCUAAAGGCGUCCCUGAGGUUCCCAAAGCAGGGCACGGCUGGGAUCACCCAUUCCCUGGAUGAGGCUCUGCAUCCUCGGCCCCUGGGCUCAGCACUGGCCUGAUUGGAAGAACCAGGAUGGAGCUUGGCACGUUGGGAAUGUGUUGGGAGCGUGUCCUGCUCCUCCGUCCGGUCUGUGGUGUGACAGGGCCGUCACAUGUGCCCAGGCUGUUGCUGCCCGAGGGACAUCAUCUCCCCUGCCUCUGGUCCUCAUUUUCAUGUUCAUUUCCUCUCUUCUAAAGGAAAAUGAUAAUUAUUUAUCAGAAGCAAAAAGCUGUGUAUCCACGUAAUGGCCUGGGAGGUGUAGGUAAACACACACUGCGUUGUUUUGGAAGGUGGAAAGGGAAGAAUGCCCCUUUAAUCUGAGUUAUUCAUGCGUAGGGAAAACAAAAUUUCUGGUGGUAACAGUGUUUAAUACAUUUAUUUUGUUACUUUUGAGAGCUCACUGCACUGACACUAGUGCCAGGAGGCCGGGUGAAACUUUGUUACCAGGAGUUCAGAGUCUCCUUAAUUAUAACCCUCUCCACUUUUCAUAGCAAUGGCUACUUCUCAUUUUGGAGACACUUAAGAAUUUUUUUUGCUCUAGAAAACCCUGGAGAACAGCCAGGUGUCCCCUGGGGUGGAACAGGGCGAGGGACAGAUGUACACACAGAAGCUGAGGAAGGCAAAGAUGGGAAUAAAACACCCUGGACACCUCAGCGGGAGCGUCCCUGGUGUUCCCCAUCGUUUGGCAGGGUGACUGCGAGGUGUGAAACAACUGGAAAACAGUGUCAGCACCAGGGUGUGAACACCAGCCGUGAGGGACUGGAGCCUGUGGCAUCCAAAUCCCUUCAGACAAAGUGCAGGUGUGUGUGGAGAUACUGAAACACCUGCUCAAGCACUGACUGAGGAAAAGCCCUGCUUGACCAGGAACUGCAUCAUUCCAGCUUUCCAUGGAGGGUGGUUGGAUGAAUAAGAAGGUAUUGAUAUCCUGUGACUUAUUCCUGCAAAUGCCUGGGAAUAAGCUACUAAAUCACCUCAGGACAAGCCUGCCUGCAGUAGAGACUAAAUCAGUAUAAAUAGGAAUUUAAAAAGUUAUUUGCCUCCCCAAACCAGCUGCAGAGACCAGGCCUGAAGUUUAUUAUUAAUGUUGCUCACCCAGUGUGGGCUGGCAGAGGUAAAAAAGGUGUUUGCCUGACAAAUGCUGUGUGCCCUUUCCCACACCACUGGAGAUCCCAGCGCCAGGAGCGGUUCUGUGCAGAGCCUAAGAGAUCAAAGUCCUAUUAAAAGAAACUCCUAU